rnacentral:misc_RNA from 1 species
AACACUGAGCUGUGAAUGCAGAUUUUGUGUAAUCCCUGAUUGGUGGAGGAUGAAUAUUGCCUAUAUGCUCCUGUAAGAUAGGCAAUCCAUAAAGGAUUCCGAUCUUGCCUAGGAGAUGAACAAAUUGAGACUUAGAUAGAGGUUUUGUAAGUGCAUCUGCCAGUUGGUCUUGAGUGGAGACAUGAGGCACAUAGAGCAAUUCUUUGGAUACUUGAUCAUGAACAAAGUGGUAGUCAAUAGCGAUGUGUUUCAUUUUAGAAUGAAACAUGGGGUUUGCACAUACAUAAGUGGCUCCAAUGUUGUCACAAAAA